rnacentral:rRNA from 1 species
CCUACGGGAGGCAGCAGUGGGGAAUCUUGCGCAAUGGGCGAAAGCCUGACGCAGCCAUGCCGCGUGAAUGAUGAAGGUCUUAGGAUUGUAAAAUUCUUUCACCGAGGACGAUAAUGACGGUACUCGGAGAAGAAGCCCCGGCUAACUUCGUGCCAGCAGCCGCGGUAAUACGAAGGGGGCUAGCGUUGCUCGGAAUUACUGGGCGUAAAGGGAGCGUAGGCGGAUAGUUUAGUCAGAGGUGAAAGCCCAGGGCUCAACCUUGGAAUUGCCUUUGAUACUGGCUAUCUUGAGUACGGAAGAGGUAUGUGGAACUCCGAGUGUAGAGGUGAAAUUCGUAGAUAUUCGGAAGAACACCAGUGGCGAAGGCGACAUACUGGUCCGUUACUGACGCUGAGGCUCGAAAGCGUGGGGAGCAAACAGGAUUAGAUACCCUGGUAGUCCACGCUGUAAACGAUGAGUGCUAGUUGUCGGCAUGCAUGCAUGUCGGUGACGCAGCUACGCAUAAGCGACUCCGCCGUCGGGGUAGGUACGGUCGGCGAAGUAGUUAAACGUUACGAAAGUAAGUUAGUUAGGCGUUGAGAGNGCGACGGACGACGACGAGGGAGGAGGAG